AUGAUUGAUGAGGAAGGUGCGAUUCACCAGGCGGAUGACCACACGAUUCCCAGUAAAGGCUACGGAACUGUUGUUCUUCACAGUUUGGACUUAUCGAUACAGAAUGUGCUUUAUGUGCCAGACGCCAAACAUAAUUUGCUCAGCGUUGGACAGCUGAAUGAGCGGAACAUUGACGUCUCCUUUAAGAACAAGAAGUGCAUCAUCACAAAGAAAAAUGAUUAUGUAUUGCAUGCUGAAUAUGUUGAUCGCUUGUUUGUUUUGUAUUAUGAUGAUGUUGUGCAGGAUGACACUUGUUGCAUUGCAGGUUCUAACAAAAGUUUGCAUGCAGGAUGUAUUCAUGAUUUUCAUCGAAAAUUUGGUCAUUUGCAUUUUGAGGCAGUUUCUAAAAUGACUGCCUUGGUUGAAGGUAUGACUAUUAAACCCUGCAGGUACCACAUGAAGUGCAAAGCAUGCGCAGCAAACAAGGUGAAAAUGGCUGCGAAAGGUAAGGUGUCUAGUAGGCAAGCUACGGAACCAUACCAGGUUGUUCAUGCUGAUUUGGUUGGACCACUAGCGCCCUCUUUGGGUGGAAAUAGGUACUUCAUGGUUCUCAUUGACGCAUUUUCUAGAUAUAUUUUUGUGUACAAUCUCAAGCAGAAAUCAGAGGCUUUUCCUAGGUUCAAGGAAUUCUGUGCUUGGUUGGAAAAUGUGCAUGGUAAGAAGAUAAAGACUCUUUUCACUGAUCGCGGGGGAGAAUUCACUUCUCAGCAGUUUGAAGCUUUUCUGACUGAGAAAGGAAUUCAACACGAUUUGUCUAGUCCUCGCUCGCCAUGGCAGAAUGGACUUGCGGAAUGGGCAAAUCAGACAUUGCUUCAAGGGUUAAAAACCUUGCUGCAUGAUGCCAAUCUUCCAGAGAGUUAUUGGGCCGAAGCUCUCUCAUGUUUUGUUUACAGUUAUAAUCGCAGGUUAUCUUCAGCGAUUGGUUGUACCCCCUAUGAGAAGAUGUUUGGCAAGAAGCCUUACAUCAAACACAUGAGAAUUUUUGGUUCUGAUAUGUGGAUUCACACACCACAAAACUCCAAGUUAGACAAGCGUGGAUUGCAUGGUAUCUUUCUAGGUUAUCAGAAAGGGUCUUACAGAAUAAUGAUGACUGACUCUAAGACAAUUAAGCUCACGAGAAGUGUUGAGUACAAUGCAAAGUGGGGGGAGAAUGUGGGAAUUUUCCAAUGUUAUCCUGAUGAUGGUGAUGAGACUGAGGAUAGUCAAAAGCAACCACAACAACCCACACCCACUGAUGAAGGUUCUGAGUCUGAAUCUGAAACUGAAUCGGGUGAUUCAGAGGAUUUCAAGAGUGCGAAAGCCUCUAUGCGACCCUCUGAAAGCUCUGAUCGAGAAGAAUUGGAGGAACCAUUGUUCACAAUAGGUCGUUUUUCUCCUAAGAAGGAAGAGGAGAGUGUUGAAGACUUAAGGUUAAUUCGUAGGUCACAGAGAGCCACAAAAGGCAAACCUCCCAAAGAGAUUUGCUGA
rnacentral:lncRNA from 1 species